rnacentral:rRNA from 1 species
GGUUAAGCGACUAAGCGUACACGGUGGAUGCCCUGGCAGUCAGAGGCGAUGAAGGACGUGCUAAUCUGCGAAAAGCGCCGGCGAGGUGAUAUGAACCUUUGACCCGGCGAUGUCCGAAUGGGGAAACCCAGUGUGUUUCGACACACUAUCGUUAACUGAAUACAUAGGUUAACGAGGCGAACCGGGGGAACUGAAACAUCUAAGUACCCCGAGGAAAAGAAAUCAACCGAGAUUCCCCCAGUAGCGGCGAGCGAACGGGGAGCAGCCCGGAGUCUGAAUCAG